UGGGGAAUAUUGGACAAUGGGGGAAACCCUGAUCCAGCAAUGCCGCGUGAGUGAAGAAGGCCUUAGGGUUGUAAAGCUCUUUCGCCCGCGAAGAUAAUGACGGUAGCGGGAGAAGAAGCCCCGGCUAACUCCGUGCCAGCAGCCGCGGUAAUACGGAGGGGGCUAGCGUUGUUCGGAAUUACUGGGCGUAAAGCGUACGUAGGCGGAUGCGCAAGUUGGGGGUGAAAUCCCGGGGCUUAACCUCGGAAGGGCACUGGAGACUGGGAGGCUAGAGUACCGGAGAGGAAGGUGGAAUUCCUGGUGUAGCGGUGAAAUGCGUUGAUAUCAGGAGGAACACCGGUGGCGAAGGCGGCCUUCUGGACGGCUACUGACGCUGAGACGCGAAAGCGUGGGGAGCAAACA
rnacentral:rRNA from 1 species